AGUCCAUGAUAUGGACAUAUUCUCAUUAUCUCCUUUAAUUUCUUCCAUGCUUCAAAGAUCGAUUCCCCGUCUGUUUACCUAAAUCAGAUAAUUUGGUUCCUAAGUUA